rnacentral:rRNA from 1 species
CGCGCGACCAGAAAAUGCAUGUCGAGUAUAAAAACUGCGAAUGGCUCAUUAAAUCAGUUCUAGUUUCUUUGAUGGUUGGAUAACCGUAGUAACAUAGAGAUACAUGCUUGAAUUCCUGACGGUGAUUCAUGCUAACUUUUCGGAUCGCAUGGGCGCUGGCGACGCUUCAUACAAGUUUCUGCCCUAUCAACUGUCGAUGGUAGGGUAUUGGCCUACCAUGUUGUAACGGGGACGGAGAAUUAGGGUUCGAUUCCGGAGAGGCUGAGAACGGCUACCACAUCUGGCAGCAGGCGCGCAAUUACCAAUCCCGACCUGGGGAGGUAGUGACAAUAAAUAACAAUGCGGGUUCUGCAAUUGGAAUGAGACAAUGUAAAUAACGAGAGCAAGGGCAAGUCUGGUGCCUUCCAGCUCCAAUAGCGUAUAUUAAAGUUGUUGGAUUUCGGAAGUCGGGUGGUCUGCCAGUGGUAGCCUCCCUCGGAGACGAGGUCUGUCCUUCACUGGCUUUAUGCGAGGUGUUUACUUUGAAAAAAUUAGAGUGUUCAAAGCAGGCUGAAUACAUUAGCAUGGAAUAAUGGAAUAGGAUUUUGUUGGUUUGAAGGAGAGAGUAAUGAUUAAUAGGGACAGUUGGGGGCAUUCGUAUUAAUUGUCAGAGGUGAAUUCUUGGAUUUCUGAAAGACGAACAACUGCGAAAGCAUUUGCCAAGGAUGUUUCAUUAAUCAAGAACGAAAGUUUUCGAAGACGAUCAGAUACCGUCGUAGUCCUAACCAUAAACAAUGCCGACUAGGGAUCAGCGUAGGACGUCGUUGGCACCUUACGAGAAAUCAAAGUUUUUGGGUUCUGGAGUAUGGUCACAAGGCUGAAACUUAAAGAAUUGACGGAAGGGCCAGGAGUGGAGCUUAUUUGACUCAACACGGGAAACCUCAGUCCGGACAUCGUUAGGAUUGACAGAUUGAGAGCUCUUUCUUGAUUCUAUGGGUGGUGGUGGUACGAUAUUCAAGCUAGAGUUAUUUCAAGUUUUAUUCCGUUCGCGAACUAGACCUUCCUCUUCUAAGGAGUAAAAAGCACGCCCCCUUUUAUGGACAGUAGAUCACGGAGGCAAUAUCACGUCUGUGAUGCCCUUAGAUGUUCUGGGGCGCGCGCGCGCUACACUGAUCAAGUCAACAAGCCUUCCCCCUAAGGCGUGGGUAAUCUUGUAAACUGGAUGGUGCUGGGGAUAGAUCAAGGCAAUUUCUGAUCUUGAACGAGGAAUUCCUAGUAAGCGCAAGUCAUCAACCCGCUCUGAUCACGCCCCUGCCCAAGACCGCCCCUCCCGUCCCUCCCACCGAAUCAAGGAAUUGCUGAGGUAUCCGGAUU